rnacentral:rRNA from 1 species
UACGUAGGGCGCAAGCGUUUGUCCGGAAUUAUUGGGCGUAAAGAGCUCGUAGGCGGUCUGUUGCGUCUGCCGUGAAAACCCGGAGGCUUAACCUCGGGGCCUGCGGUGGAUACGGGGCAGACUAGAGGUAGGUAGGGGGAGAACGGAAUUCCCGGUGUAGCGGUGAAAUGCGUAGAUAUCUGGAGGAAUACCGGUGGCGAAGGCGGCAUCCUGGACCGACAUUGACGCUGAGGAGCGAAAGCCAGGGGAGCAAAGCAGG